GGGACUUCCUAUUUAAUGGUCCUAAUAGUAAAGACAUUACCUUUUAAUGAACACAACCAGUCACGAUGUUUUCAUCUAUCAAACAAAUCACUUCAAAAACCUAGACUACCUAAAACGUAGGCUACCUGGGCACGUUGGCCCACUCCAAAAUAAUUCCAGUACCCAAACAAUGCACUGUGCACCUGCCAUUUGAUGGAGGGAAAGAGACGUUACAAAAUCACAAAAAGUGUAAUGACAUUCGCGAUUGUCAUUAGGCCUACAAUAUUGUAGCCUGAAUUAAUUGAUGCGUCUUGCUGACAAAUGAAAAAUAUAUCAUAAUCGGGACACGUGAAAAGGGGCUGAAAUUGUCACGUUUCUCUAAAGCUGAACCCAGAAGCAGACCAGGACAAGGUGAGUAAAAUGAAGGUGAGUAUUUAUUCACAGACUCGAGGCAGCGGAGGUGAGUUGAUGAGAGUGAAUAGGCAGAUCCAAUGAUGUCACUGAAACCACCGACGACCAGGCAAGGGGGGCGAAUGUUCCGGGAGGAUGACUGUAGACAGCGUAAACAGGGUUGAGUAACCGGCAAGAAGUACAUAACAACAAAACUAACUCUGGUAACAUGAGCUGAUACGCUGACACAACCUAAUGUUCAUUGCUAACGAUCCGGCAGGGAAUGGAUGUCAGGUCAGGGUUUAUGAAGAGAAGAGGUGAUGAUCAGGACCAGGUGUGCAGAUGGCUGAUGAGAUGCAGGGCAUGGAUGAAGAGUCCACCAAGGCAGCUGUUGAGGACACUACUGUGGGGAUCUACAUUAUCAAAGACCAUUUCGCGAGUGAGGAUCCAGGGGACACUGGGAUUGUCCUUGAAGGCGUCAAGGUGCUGCAGGAUCUGGGCAACGUAGCAUUUGCUGUUGCAAUGCUGUUCGGCCUCAUGUAUGCCAUGAACCUCAGUUACCCUAACUGAGCCCCGCUACACUUUUGAUGUCUUUCAGAAGGUUUUUAUGGAACUGAAUGGGGACAAACUUUCUAACAAAGCUGUUGCAUUUAAAAACAGGCUGUUUCAGUGAGCUGUUUUGUUGUAUGUUGUGUUUCACACUGUAUGUUUGACUUAUGUUUAACUUGUUAGAUUGUUCACAAAAACUCAAAACAGAAUGAGCAUGUCCAAAGAUGGAGCUAUCGUGAUUUCCUUAAUUUUCUUUGCUGCUUAUGGAAAAAGUUCAGUUUCACUUUGUAGUGACUUUUAGUCAAUAUAAUUAACAUGCACAAAUAUGUCCACAUACCUACCUCAUUCUUUGUCUGUUACUCCUUAUGAAAAAUAACUACCUCAUUUUGUAACAAAAUGCAUUAGAGGGCCCAAUCAUUGUUAGGACAACUCUUCUUUUUUUAUAUAUACAGAUACUGUAUAAAGGCUACAGCCCCUUGAUUUAGACCUGUGCAAUUCAUUGAACACUGAAUGUCAGUGAAUGGACAUUUGUCAUUCCAAAGAGCUGAACCGUUACAAAAAAUACAAUAUCAUUUUUGAAACGCAUGCCUUUGCCUUCUUUGUCACUGAUGCAAAUGGUCUCUUGCUCCUUGGUUACACAUCCUUAGAAAACGUUUUAUUUCCCUAUUAAUUUGUUUAAAUACAAACACUAAGGCAGAAAAUGACAGCAUUUCAUCUUGUGCUUACAUUAAUAAUUAUGUAGAACCUUAAAUUAUGGACAAAGUUAUUCAUAAUUAUGAGUAACAUCGGAACAUGAUCAAAUACAUUUCAAGCUACACAUUUAAUUCAAAUAAAAUUUAC
rnacentral:lncRNA from 1 species